rnacentral:RNase_P_RNA from 1 species
GCAGUUGUGAGGCUUGCUUUAGGGCUAACAAACAGAGCAUUAAUUGUUCAUAUUAGUCCUGGGAAGGUCUGAGACAAAGAUCAACUGAAUUCUCUAGCAGGGGAUUUUCAUAAACGGAAGUGGCUCAAUAGAAAAUGGCUUCCAAUGAACAUGUGCACAAGAUGCCUCAAUCAGGCUGAUGCUCGUUCAUUGUGCUAGUUGGAAGAGUCUAUGAUCAGCUAGUUAAGCCAGAUUUGCAAGGUAGCUGUAAGCUAUAACUCGAUUCAGACUACUCCAUUACUGC